GGGAGGUGGAGAGGAGGAAAACGGUGGAAAGUUCAGAACUGUAUUCCUGAGACAAGAGGGGAAGCCGCUUCCCAUCCUGCUGAGGAGCGAAGAUGAGGAAAGAGGGCCCGCUCGGCCUUUAGCUCUCUUUUGGCUACUGCCAAGGAGAAGCCCCGGAUGUUUCAAACGUCCCUCUUUAAACCAGUUCAAACGCUGCCGUGGAAGACUACAAACCCACCCGGACGCCAAGACUGAGUCCAGUGAUGGGGAACCUGUGCACCUGCGCCGCCGCUGCCCUCUCUGUGCCCCGCAGGCCAAACCACCCCAGCGUCGCCUCAGCAGCCGCGCAUCGGAUAAUACCUCAUCUCACAAAAGCCGGCUAAACGCAAACUUUUACUUUCAGUAACAACCUCUCAGCAGCAACAGGACAGGAGCAGCGGCUGGGAGACAGAGUGGAAGCUCUGAUACAUGGGAAGAUCUGACUACAGCGCAACCUGCCCAGACACAGCUGCCAUGAAUGCCCCUACCUGGAAGCUUCCUGAGUGGGAGAAGGAGACCUUUAGCUCACAGAGGUACAACUCCAACACACAGGAGCUUCCGCUCAGGGAGCUUUUGACCAAGGAGACUAACAACAGGCUCAGAACAGAGCCUUCCAAUUUCUCCACUGAAGCCGUAACUACAGUCCCUUUUGUUUUAAAAAUUAAACGAGAUAAAAGGCUUA